GUGGAAUCCACAGGCCCUUCUGCUCACGCGGUCAGCUCUGCUCCAGCGCAGACACCCUUUGAUUAAGGAGGGUAUUUCGGGGAGUGAGGCUGUGCGGAAGAUCACGCUGUGCCCUAUGGUGCUGUCAGCAGUGACAGUUCCCAGAUGGGGCCGCUACUGUAUGGCAGAUUGAGUUUCUCAGCAGAAAGCUCACCCUGCCUCCUAAACGUCUUCAAAACCUUCUCCAGAUACACCAGGUCGCUUCGUGUGAAACCGAAACAGUCCAGCCUCAGUGUUGGUUUUGGUGCUUUAUGUUAGGGGUGGGUUUUUUGUUUGGGGGGGGGUUGUUUGUUUUUCAGCCUUCUUUUUCUCGCCACUUCCUCCUCCUCUGAGCAUCUUCGACUGCAGGCCUACCCGGCUUCUAAAUGCGUAGAUGUGGCGGGCCUGGGGGGAUCCUGUGCGCCUCGCUCACGGCGCCACGCUGCCGAAGACUCAGAACCGAGGGUCCCCAAGGCAAUCCGGUUUCCACUUCCUCUUUACUGCUCGAGGAAUCUCACUUCCCAGGCUUCUCCCCAAGAAGAGCCUGGGCAUGAGAGGUCCACUGAGAAGGCCGGAAGCCCCGAGUUCCAACGCAACCCUAGGCGACCCGGGUUAGCCGGCGACCCGGGUUAGCCGCCGGCCCGGGUCGGAGCCGGCUCCAGCGGACGGACGGAACGGAGUACCGGGAGGAAGAAGUGAGCUCACCGGGCAAGGAAAGCAGGAGGCUCGGCCUGGCCGCCGCGGCCCUGGGCGCCGAGCUCUGAGGCGCAAAACCUGGAGGAGAAGCUGUGCGCCCAGGUCCUCCGCGGCCGCCCUCCGAAGAGGCCGCCCAGCCCGACUCCAGCCAUUCUCACAGCUCCCUCAGAAGGGGAGCGCCAGGCGCGACCUGCAGGUUCCGGCCUGGAAGACUGAGGCUGGAGUCCCAGGGAAAGGUAGAAUAACGUGCUGCGCAAUCUGUUUUCCAACCUCGCGCCCUCUACACAACUGCGACAUCACCAGGGUGCUCCGACGCAGUUCGGCCUACAGAAAUGUAUAGAGAGGGCUGCGAUUUCACCUCGGCACCUGGCCCUGUAAGCGGAAAGUUUGGGAGUGUAGGACAAGCAUUUCCAAACUGACUUUGGGCUGAACGAAUGCCAGGGUGCCUGUCGCCUGGGGAGGAUCCGCACCGUUGGUUCUCCGAAGCAGUGCUCCGGCCGACCGGCUCUGCCGCGGAACAGUCACUCGGCGGCCGAAACACGGGUUCAAGUGUGAGGCGCGAGGCCUGAG
rnacentral:lncRNA from 1 species